rnacentral:rRNA from 1 species
UGGGGAAUCUUCCGCAAUGGGCGAAAGCCUGACGGAGCGACACCGCGUGAAGGAUGAAAUCUUUAUUGAUGUAAACUUCUUUUCUGUGGGAAGAUAAUGACGGUACCACAGGAAUAAGGGGCGGCAAACCUCGUGCCAGCAGCCGCGGUAAUACGAGGGCCCCAAGCGUUAUCCGGAAUUACUGGGUGUAAAGCGUCUGUAGGUGGAUUAUCAAGUCUGAUGUGAAAGACCAGAGCUCAACUCUGCGUUAGCGUCGGAAACUGAUAGUCUUGAGUUAGGGAGAGGCAAGCAGAAUUAUGCGAGUAGGGGUGCAAUCCGUUGAUACGCAUAAGAAUACCAAAAGCGAAGGCAGCUUGCUGGAACUAUACUGACACUGAGAGACGAAAGCGUGGGGAGCAAA